GUAAUAUAUACUUGAUAAAUUUUUGAUACAUACUUCAAGCUUCUUUGAUACAUGCCUAAUAGUGAUCCAUUAUAUGUUUCUAGAUAAAAUAAUAAAUAGUUUCUAGAACAUCAUAUUCAUUAAUAUAGAGUCCAUGACCAUGUGACAUACACUUAGGAUGGAUGCCUUCACAAGGAAGAAGAUUUGAAGGAGGAGAAAAGGACUCGGAGGGG
rnacentral:lncRNA from 1 species